UACAGAGGGGGCAAGCGUUAUUCGGAAUUAUUGGGCGUAAAGGGCGCGUAGGCGGCCUGGCAAGUGGAAGGUGAAAUCCCUCGGCUUAACCGAGGAACUGCCUCCCAAACUGCUUGGCUUGAGACCGGGAGAGGUGAGUGGAAUUCCCAGUGUAGCGGUGAAAUGCGUAGAUAUUGGGAGGAACACCAGUGGCGAAGGCGGCCUGCUGGGCAGUGGCUGACACUGAUGCGCGACAGCGUGGGGAGCAAACAGG
rnacentral:rRNA from 1 species